rnacentral:tRNA from 1 species
AAAAAGUUAGUUUAAAAUAGAAAACAUAGCUUUGUCAAAGCUAAAAUACUAAUUUAGUACUUUUUA